rnacentral:rRNA from 1 species
GACGAACGCUGGCGGCGUGCUUAACACAUGCAAGUCGAGCGAUGAAAUCCCUUCGGGGAUGGAUUAGCGGCGGACGGGUGAGUAACACGUGGGUAACCUGCCUCACAGAGGGGGAUAGCCUCCGGAAAGGGGGUUUAAUACCGCAUAACGUUAGUUUUUCGCAGGGAGAACGAUUUAAAGGAGUAACCCGCUUUGAGAUGGACCCGCGGCGCAUUAGCUAGUUGGCGAGGUAACGGCUCACCAAGGCGACGAUGCGUAGCCGACCGGAGAGGGUGAUCGGCCACAUUGGAACUGAGACACGGUCCAGACUCCUACGGGAGGCAGCAGUGGGGAAUAUUGCACAAUGGGCGAAAGCCUGAUGCAGCAACGCCGCGUGAGUGAUGAAGGCCUUCGGGUUGUAAAGCUCUGUCUUUUGGGACGAUAAUGACGGUACCAAAGGAGGAAGCCACGGCUAACUACGUGCCAGCCGCCGCGGUAA